GGAGUUAAUUUUGCAGGGCUGUGCCAGUGCUCAUCCUGUUCCUCCUUGCACAAAGGAGCAGAUACCGGUCCUGCUGUUGGGUUAAGGACCUUCUUCGGCCCUGUCUAGCUCUCCUAGAGUAACUCCCUGUCUCCUGGAAUCUCCUCUAUGUUCUUGAGACUGUGUUGAGAGACACACCAAACCUUCUGGCAAUGACACAUAUUGAUGUGCUAUUCUGGAGGACUUGGACUACCUAUGCAACCUCUGUAGGGUCCAGGAGGCUCAUGUAUAAAGU